rnacentral:misc_RNA from 1 species
AAGUCGUAACAAGGUAUCCGUAGGUGAACCUGCGGAUGGAUCAUUACCAAUUUCUAUAUUAUAAAACUGCUCAAGCCCCGCAACGGGUUUGGGCAACUUUUAUAAAUGUAAAUUGUUGAACCUGUUAUAUUAUUCUGUGUGGUUCAGUGUUAUUACUUGGCCACCAGCAUUUAUAAAAUCUAAAACAUUUUGUAUUAACUACUACCAUAUAUUAACAACUAUAUAUAAUACUUUUUAUAGCCACAAGCUGUAAAAAACAACUAAUAUAAAAAACAACUUUCAACAAUGGAUCUCUAGGCUCUC